rnacentral:tRNA from 1 species
UGCACAAGGGGCUGCGGUAUUAGCAGUUGCGAUUAAAACUCGGAAAACAGCUUUAAAAGAAUUAUCAUUUGCUGGUGCAAUUUCAGCUUUCUGUGG